rfam:Eurypyga helias contig43194, whole genome shotgun sequence.
AUACUUACCUGGCAGGGGAGACACCAUGAUCAAGAAGCUGGUUUUCCCAGGGCGAGGCUCAUCCCUUGCACUCUGGGUGUGCUGGCCCCUGUGAUUUAUUUUUAUUUUCUUUUUUUGAACACCUGAGGAACCUGAAGGUGCACAAGUCCAUG